UCAAAACCUUCAGUGCAUCUUGUCUCUAUGCAAGCUUGGCUGCCCCAGCAUCUCAGCCAAUCGCAGCCUAAGCCUGGAAACACAGUGUGGCCUGAGCAAGCUGAUGUGCAGAUCAACUGAUAAUGGAUGCAAAAGAGCCCAGUAAAACGACUUUGUUUAAAGCAUGCUGUGCACUGCUUGCUGUCAUUUGUGGACAAAGAAUAAAGCUCAGGAGCCACGUGGCUGAGCGAGCAACCCAGAACUGAAAGAAGUCACUGGGGAGGGGGAAGCACCACGAUGACCAGACCAUGGACAUCAGACCAGAAUCUCCAGCUGCAGAACCAAGGCCACUUCCCAGGUCUGCAGGGUGCUGACAACCAAGGGAAUUACACACCCUCAUGUUGACUUUCUUAGCAUCUCACCUGCUGGAGAAAGAAUGUAUCGGUGAAGCCAGUGGUUCCGCAAAGGCAAUCUUACACAGGUAAGUUUAGUACAUAAAACAGGUUACAAAGGAGGCAGAGGGCUUAUUAGGAGGGAGAGAGAGAGGGAAAGAGGGAGGAAGAGACAGGGAAGC